CAGGGCCUUUUUUAAGGAUUUUCCCGUGGGGGGGCAUUUUUUGAAAAGGGACCUUUCUGUGAGAUAAUAUAUUAGAGGGGGAUAGCAAUGGCUGAAAGCCACAUGUGUGGAAAAUAUACCACGCAUGGAUGGGGGGUCUGGGGUUGUACUCCCCCAGAAAAUUUUUGAAAUUUGACUCCCGUAAAAGUCAUUUCCUGCAUUCUGAGCAUCCAAAUUUGCUCCAAAAGUUAUCCUAACUAUACUUGUAUUUGAAAUAAAUAAAGGAAGAAACACACAAAAAGUAAAAAAAAAUUAACCAUCAUUUAUCAUUACUUAUUAGAGGAUAGCAAUGGUCAGGUGUGUGGGGGUGUACUCCCCCAGAAAAUUUUUGAAAUUUGAACCACGGAAAUGCCAUUUCCUGCAUUCUGAGCAUCCAAAUUUGCUCUAAAAUUUAUGCUAACUAUACUUGUAUUUGAAAUAAAAGAUGGAAAAAUGCACAAAAAGUAAAAAAGAAUAUUAACUGUAAUUUAUCAUUACUUAUUAGAUAGAUAAUCCCAAGAAAAUUUUUGAAAUUUGAAACCGUGAAAUGCUAUUUUCUGCAUUCUGAGCAUCAAAAAAUAUAUAUAUAUAUAUAUAUAUAUAUAUAUAUAUAUUAACAAUAAUUUAUCAUGGCUUAGUGGUAAAAAAAGUAACAAUUUAAAUCGAUUUUGUUAAACAAGAACAAAGGAUAAAGCCUAAAACUUACUUUCCGUUUAUCUAUUUGUUAAUCUUCGCUGGAUUGUUUGUAUAAUUUUAGGAAAAAGGGACUUUUCC
rnacentral:lncRNA from 1 species